rnacentral:rRNA from 1 species
UACGUAGGGUGCAAGCGUUAAUCGGAAUUACUGGGCGUAAAGCGUGCGCAGGCGGCUUUGCAAGACAGAUGUGAAAUCCCCGGGCUCAACCUGGGAACUGCAUUUGUGACUGCAUGGCUGGAGUGCGGCAGAGGGGGAUGGAAUUCCGCGUGUAGCAGUGAAAUGCGUAGAUAUGCGGAGGAACACCGAUGGCGAAGGCAAUCCCCGUGGGCCUGCACUGACGCUCAUGCACGAAAGCGUGGGAGCAACAGG